CUUUAUUUGGCUUUAUCGAAGUUGCAGGCCUAUAUUUUGCAUUGACACAGUUGACCCACAGAAAUAUUUCCCAGAAUCAUAAGUUUCAAGCUGUUGGACUAGGGUGGGCUUUUGCUGAUUCUGUUCUGCAUAGACUGGUACCUCUUUGGUUUGGUGCUAGAGGAUUGGAGUUUACAUGGGACUACAUCUUGCAAGGCCUAGAAGCAAAUGCAAAUUUGGUUUUCAGUAUAUCACUAGCAGCAUUGGGUUCUCUUAUGUGGCUUCGGAAAAACAAACCCAAGACUUUGAUACCUAUCAUAUAUGCAUGUGCUGGGAUUGUGGCAACAAUGCCAACCAUAACCAGUUAUCUGAGGCGAGGCUUGGGGUGGCACCUUCCAAAAGUAGUUGGCUUUGAGCUUUUCAGCUCAUUGCUGAUUGCUUUUAUCAGUUGGCAAUUGUUUGUUGCAUGCCAGAGACCGUCUAACUGAGUUGAUUACCCAUUGGCUCUUCCUCAUGGAAGUUUGCGUAUGGUUCUUCAGCAAUGAGUAUGUUCUAUCCGGUAUUUGGACUAAAGCUUUUUAUGUCCUCCUUUACCAUUCACUCUGCAAGUCAGGCUUCAUAACCUUAAAAUAUCUUACGAACAAAUUUGACGUGGAGGGAUUUCAUUGGUUAGCAAUUUUGACAUGUACUGGUUUAUGAAAGAUUAGAAUAUAUUGAUGAAUCAUUUGGCGUUUACAUGUCUGAAUAUUUAUUACAUUUCUGAGUUUCACCAAUGAUCCGGGAGUGUUCCUGCACAAAAGUGCUUUGUAUUGAUAGAGUUAUUGAUUCAUU
rnacentral:misc_RNA from 1 species